GUCAAUGUUCAUAUCUUAAUUCGUUCACUUAAGAUCUUGGCAUUCCAUUAUUUCAUGCCAUGCUUUUUCGUUCCAAUGAAUGUAUUUUAUGUUCAAGAGUUUUUCAUUUAAGCUUUGGAAGAACUUCUAACAGAGGUAAUUUUCUAGUGAAGACAAUUUUUUUGUAUGAAAUAAUGUUGUCAAAUUGACUAUGAAUAUUUAUUGUAAUAGGGAGAAUUUUGCGGAAUUCUCUUGGAAAAUUUUAGAAGACACACAUCACUUUUUAUUUUAGUAGGCAUCUUGUGAUUAAUACUAAUAGGUGAAAAUUUUGCCAAAUUAGUUAGGUCUUGCUAAGAAAAUUUUCCUCAAAUAGCCCAUAUAAAUAUUCAUGAAAGCUCAUAAUUCAUUUACAUAUCUCUCUCCCUCUCUCUCUCAUUUUGGUGGUGAUUUCAUCAAUAUAUAUUCAAAUAAUCAUAUUUCUAAUAGAGGUGUUAACAACAUUUUAUUACAAGCUAGGGUUGUAAUUCAUCAACUAAUUGUGUAAUUUGUUUCUUGCAGAUGUCUUAUGAAUUUAACCUUAUUGUGAAUAAACCAUUUUUUAAUGUUCCUUAAGAAUUUUCAAGUAACUCAAACUUCUUAUUGAAUAAUUUCAUUUUAGCCCCUUUGAUCUCAAUAAUAUCUUCAUGGAUCAAUUUUAGGGUGUCCCAAAUUUCUUUUACAAUACUACAAUUUGAUACAUGGUAGUACUCUCUUGUUUCUAAAGCACUAUUUGUUAAGUACUUGUCUUUCAAAAAUGUAUUGCAUCUUUUUUUUCUAAGGUCUAGAGAGCUUUUGGUUUAUUCACCACUUCAUUAUUUAUGAAAUGAAUGAGAAUAAACAGGUGAUUUUUAAACAAAUCCCACACAACAAAAUCAAAAGUUGUAAGAAAUAUUUUCACUCUUCCAUUCCAUAGAAUAUAGCUUCACCAUUAAAAUGUUGAGGUUUAUUCAUGGAAAUCCCUCUUUUAAUUUUUUUUUUGAAGUCACUCUACCUCAUGAGACGAUUAUUCUUUAAACGUGAAUUAGACUCUAAUGUCACUUGUUGUCUAAUCCACUUCAAUCCCAAUAGGGAAGAUGGAUUGUGAUAUAAAUUUUUUAGAGGCUUUCAAAAAUAAAUCAAUUUUAAGGUUGAUCUUAAGAAUAUGGUAAAAGAAUAAGAGAACUACAAGUAAGUAAAGACAAAAAAAAAGACCAGAGAAGAAUACAACAAAUUUUAUCUUGGUUCUUCUCAAAACCAUGAGGCCUAUGUCUAGAUCUCAAGGAUUUACCCAUGAUACAUCCAUUAUCGUAGACUUUUUACAACAAGAUCAACUCACAACCCAUUUACAUCAAGCUUUUAUCUCAGGUUCAACUUGCAACCUUUAUUUCCAUAUAUUAAAGUAAGAAUAACAACUCUCUCUCUCUAAGUUAUAUAUCAAGACCGGUUAACACAAUAUAACUUUACUGAAGUGUUUUAUCUCUUUGCACUAAACUGUUAUUUAAGAGAAUAUUAAUUUUAAAGACAAAAAGAAUGAGUAGAUGAGAGGUUACUUUUUAUAUUUUCUAUAUUUUUUCAAGUGAUCAUAAGUCGUCAUUUUAUAGUAAAAUAUUUAGUCAAGAAAAGAAGGUCUUUAUCACCAAAUCCACACCAAAUCAAUUAGGCUAUGACAAUAAUCAAUUAUGACCUAGAAAAUUAAGAGAGUUUUUGCUAGAUCUAAAUCAUAAUAAACUAGAAGGAUUGCUUAAUCAAUUAUUGAGCAGGUUUUCCCCAUAAUUUAUUAUAAAAUUGUCAUAAUCAAGUAGAUAAUAAUUUUAUUAUAUAAUCAGUUAAUUAAGCAUUAUAAUUGAUUAGGCUUUGAUUUUCAAAAGCAUUUCAAAAACCAAGAUGUUUUUAGAAGAGAUUUUUGAAAAAUAAUGAAGUUUUAAAACAUAUUUUAUGUGUGUGUGGUAGUAUCUAAGUACUUUGAGAGCAUAUAUUUAAUUUAAAAUUAUUGAUCUUAUAAAAAUAAACAAAGAACAAAACAAAAGAUCACAAGAGAGCUUUUAACAACUGACUUUGUUUAUUCGUAAAGUUCAUUAGUUUUUUUUUAUAUUUUUUCACCAAUCACCAAAACUUAUCGCUUUUUGAUAUGUUUGAAUUUGUUUUCUCUAUUUGAUGGUGUUCAUGAUUUUUUCUUUGUUUUAUUUAUCAUCACAAUUUUUUUUACAUACUUGUUCUACAUAUAGAACAUCUUCUUUUACUGAUGUUUACAAUUUUGUUUUCCUUUAUUGUCAUCAUCAAAAUAUUUGACAUGCAUGUUCAACAUAUAAAAUAACAUAUAUUAUGGUAAUAUUGGAGAUAUAUUAACUCUUUAGAUAGCUCCACAUUUAAGAUAAAUUACAUGAAAAAUAGUCCCCUAUUGUAGUUGUCCAAGAAACUCUAGAAAUUUCAAGGAAGUGUUACAUAGAGAGUCUUAAGAUGAAAAGGUUAUGCGCUCUAGGCGUGAACACCAGAACGGUGGGCUCGGUAAUAAAACCACCAGGAGCAGCUUGUAAAGGCGAAAAGGCUUCCCCACAAGCUAUCGAGGAGAUCGAAGACUAAACACUCAUAGGGAAUUACCUCUGGCGCCAUUUUCUAUAAUAUUUUUUUUUUACCUUGCUUUUAUCUAAUUACCUUAUUGUUAAUUUUGAUUAGAUGAGUAUUACAUGUUUUCCAUUUGUAAAGUCAUGUUACUUUUAGGGGUGCACUCUUUUCCCUAUGUACCUUGUAAGGGGAAAGGGUUUUUAAUGAGGUCCCUCAUUUUUUUUGUUUGAAGAAUUUACAUUUGUUAUCUAUUUCCUUUUUUCAAGAAACAUAAAGGUUAUGGAGAA
rnacentral:lncRNA from 1 species